CGGGUGAGUAACACGUGAGCAACCUGCCUUUCAGAGGGGGACAACAGUUGGAAACGACUGCUAAUACCGCAUAAAAUAACGGAACCGCAUGAUUCUGUUAUCGAAGGAGAAAUCCGCUGAAAGAUGGGCUCGCGUCUGAUUAGAUAGUUGGUGAGGUAACGGCCCACCAAGUCGACGAUCAGUAGCCGGACUGAGAGGUUGAACGGCCACAUUGGGACUGAGACACGGCCCAGACUCCUACGGAAGGCAGCAG
rnacentral:rRNA from 1 species